rnacentral:rRNA from 1 species
GAACGCUGGUGGCGUGUCUUAUACAUGCAAGCGAGCGAGGCAGCAAUGCCGAGCGGCGAACGGGUGAGUAACGCGUAAGCAAUCUGCCCCAUAUCAGGAAAUACCCGUGCCAACGCGCGGUUAAUGUCCAGGAGAGUGGCCAGCUGCAUGGCUGGUUGACUAGAGAUUUAUCGGUAUGGGAUGAGCUUGCGUCCGAUUAGCUAGUUGGCGGGGCAACGGCCCACCAAGGCGACGAUCGGUAGCCGGCCUGAGAGGGUGAUCGGCCACAUUGGGACUGAGAUACGGCCCAGACUCCUACGGGAGGCAGCAGUAGGGAAUAUUGCACAAUGGGGGAAACCCUGAUGCAGCAACGCCACGUGUGGGAAGAAGCAUUUCGGUGUGUAAACCACUGUCAUGAGGAUAGCCGCUCCGACGGCCUUGAUGCCUUGAGAGGAAGCACCGGCAAACUUCGUGCCAGCCGCGGC